rnacentral:rRNA from 1 species
UGUCAAGCUAAUAAGAGCAUGUGGCGGAUGCCUUGGCGCUCAGAGGCGAUGAAGGACGUGGGUAACUGCGAUAAGCCAGGGGGAGGAGUUAACCAUCCCGUGAUCCCUGGAUUUCCGAAUGGGGCAACCCAAUGCCGGUCACGGCUUGCCGUGGACGAGCAUUACCCUUUUUAGGGGGCGAACCCGGAUAACUGAAACAUCUCAGUAACCGGAGGAAUAGAAAUCAAACGAGAAUCCCUGAGUAGCGGCGAGCGAACGGGGACGAGCCCAAACCAUAUAUGUGUAAGCCUGCCGGCGUUGCUUAUAUGGGGUUGUGGGGCAUUAUUUGAGGUAGCGGCAGCAGCCUCGGAGAGUUACAAACCAAUUCGAUAGUGGAACUGUGCUGGAAAGCCAGGCCAUAGGGAGUGAUAGCCUCGUACGCGAAAUUGAAUUGGCUCUCUGAAUAAUGUUCCCGAGUACGGCGGGACACGUGGAACCCUGUCGGAAGCUGGGAGGACCAUCUUCCAAGGCUAAACACUACUGAGCGACCGAUAGUGAACUAGUACCGUGAGGGAAAGGUGAAAAGUACCCCCGCUAGGGGAGUGAAAUAGUACCUGAAACCGCAUGCUUACAAUCAGUUCGAGGACUAUGGCGAAAGCAAGGUCUGAGAGCGUACCUCUUGCAUAAUGGGCCAACGAGUUACUUCUCUGCAGCGAGGUUAAGCCGAAGGAGGCGAAGCCGGAGCGAAAGCGAGUCUGAAUAGGGCGCUUAGUUGCAGGGAGUAGACCCGAAACCGGGUGAUCUAUCCAUGGGCAGGGUGAAUCGUGGGUAAAACCACGGGGAGGCCCGAACCCACCGGCGUUGAAAAGCCGGGGGAUGACCUGUGGAUCGGAGUGAAAGGCUAAUCAAACCCGGAGAUAGCUGGUUCUCCCCGAAACGUAUUUAGGUACGGCCUCGCAGAAAUCAGGCGUGGAGGUAAAGCACUGGAUGGGCUAGGGGGCUUACCCGCUUACCAAACCCAACCAAACUCUGAAUUCCAUGCGCUGUUACUGCGGGAGACAGUCCACGAGUGAUAAGAUCCGUGGGCGAGAGGGAAAGACCCCAGACCGCCGGCUAAGGUCCCAAAGCGCGCGCUAAGUGGUGAAGGAUGUAGGAACGCAUAAACAACCAGGAGGUUGGCUUAGAAGCAGCCAUCCUUUAAAGAAAGCGUAAUAGCUCACUGGUCCAUCGUAUUCCUGCGCCUAAUAUGUAACGGGGCUCAAGCGCGUCGCCGAAGCCGCGGAAUGCUGCAACUUUGGGUUGUGGCGUUGGUAGGGGAGCAUUGGAGUUGCCGUCGAAGGUAGACCGGCAAGGACUACUGGAGGUGCUCCAAGAGAUUAUGUUGGCAUGAGUAGCGAUAAACAGGGUGAGAAACCCUGUCACCGUAAACCCAAGGGUUCCCUGGCAAGGCUAAUCCGCCAGGGGUUAGUCGGGGCCUAAGUCGAGGCCGUGAGGCGUAGGCGAUGGCAAACAGGUUAAUAUUCCUGUACCACUUUGAUGAGGUUGAUAUCAGGGGGGACGGAGAAGGGUAGGCGGCGCCGGGUGAUGGAUGUCCCGGUUCAAGCAUGUAGGAGGAUUUCCCAGGAGGCUUAAGCCACAAACGGGAGGUCAUUCAACUCCGAGACGUGAUGAGCAUGUCAAGACUUCGGUCGCGAUAUGACCCGCUGAUCCCACGCUUCCAAGAAAAGCCCCGGAUGGACGAUUCAAAGUGCCCGUACCGUAAACCGACACAGGUGGGUGGGGUGAGAAACCUAAGGUGCUUGAGUGAACUCUUCUCAAGGAACUCUGCAAAUUGCCACCGUAACUUCGGAAGAAGGUGGACCUUUACUGGUGUAGGGACUUGCUCCCGAAGCUGGUUCGGGUCGCAGAGGCCAGGGAGUAGCGACUGUUUACCAAAAACACAGCACUGUGCAAAGUCGUAAGACGACGUAUACGGUGUGACGCCUGCCCGGUGCCGGAAGGUUAAGAGGAGGGGUCAGCCGCAAGGCGAAGCUCUGAAUCGAAGCCCCGGUAAACGGCGGCCGUAACUAUAACGGUCCUAAGGUAGCGAAAUUCCUUGUCGGGUAAGUUCCGACCUGCACGAAUGGCGUAACGACUUCUCCACUGUCUCGAGAAGGGACUCAGCGAAAUUGAAUUCCCGGUGCAGAUGCCGGGUACCCGCGGCAAGACGGGAAGACCCCAGAACCUUCACUAUAACUUGGCAGUGAUUAUCGGAUGUUCAUGUGUAGGAUAGGUGGGAGACUUUGAAGCGGGGGCGCUAGCCUCCGUGGAGUCAACCUUGAAAUACCACCCUUGGCCAUUUGAUAAUCUAACCGACAUCGGUAUAUCCCGAUGCGGGACACUGCCUGGCGGGUAGUUUGACUGGGGCGGUCGCCUCCCAAAAUGUAACGGAGGCGCGCAAAGGUUCCCUCAGACUGAUUGGAAACCAGUCGUCGAGUGUAAAGGCAAAAGGGAGCUUGACUGCGAGACUUACAGGUCGAGCAGAUGCGAAAGCAGGUCUUAGUGAUCCGGUGGUCCCGUAUGGAAGGGCCAUCGCUCAUCGGCUAAAAGGUACUCUGGGGAUAACAGGCUGAUAACGCCCAAGAGUUCACAUCGACGGCGUUGUUUGGCACCUCGAUGUCGGCCCAUCGCAUCCUGGGGCUGGAGCAGGUCCCAAGGGUCCGGCUGUUCGCCGGUUAAAGCGGUACGCGAGCUGGGUUCAGAACGUCGUGAGACAGUUCGGUCCCUAUCUGCCGUGGGAGGAGGAUACUUGAGAGGGCCUGCCCUUAGUACGAGAGGACCAGGGUGGACGAACCUCUGGUGAACCGGUUGUCGCGCCAGCGGCACGGCCGGGUAGCUAUGUUCGGAACGGAUAACCGCUGAAAGCAUCUAAGUGGGAAGCCGACCUCAAUACUAGGUAUCCCGGGAUUUAUUCCCCUUAAGGCCCGUCGGAGACUACGACGUUGAUAGGCUACAGGUGUAAGCGUGGUAACACGUUCAGCCGAGUGGUACUAAUCGGCCGUGAGGCUUGACAUC